rnacentral:rRNA from 1 species
UUCCGGUUGAUCCUGCCGGACCCCACUGCUAUCGGGAUAGGACUAAGACAUGCUAGUCAAGCGCUUUCUAGCUAAUGUGAGAGCGCGGCGUACAGCUCAGUAACACGUGGCCAACCUGCCCUUGGGACGGGAACACCCCCGGGAAACUGGGGUUAAUUCCCGAUAGGUGAGGAAGUCUGGAAUGAUUCUUCGCUCAAAAGACGUUUAUGUCAUGCUCAUAUUCGUCGCCCAGGGAUGGGGCCGCGACCGAUCAGGUAGUUGGUGAGGCAAUGGCUCACCAAGCCUUUUACCGGUGCGGGCCGUGAGAGCGGGAGCCCGGAGAUGGGCACUGAGACAAGGGCCCAGGCCCCACGGGGCGCAGCAGUCGCGAAAAUUUUGCAAUACACGGAAGUGUGACAGAGCUAUCCCGAGUGCCAUCCGCUGAGGAAGGCUUUUACCCAGUAUAAAUAGCUGGGAGAAUAAGGAGAGGGCAAGUCUGGUGUCAGCCGCCGCGGUAAUACCAGCUCUCCGAGUAGUGUGGACGUUUAUUGGGCCUAAAGCAUCCGUAGCUUGCUAGAUAAGUCCUCUGUUAAAUCCACCGAUUCAAUCGUUGGAUUGCGGGGGAUACUGUUUGGCUAGGGGACGGGAGAGGUCGACGGUAUUUCCGGGGUAGGGGUGAAAUCCUAUAAUCCCGGGAGGACCACCAGUGGCGAAGGCUGUCGACUAGAACGCGCCCGACGGUGAGGGAUGAAAGCUGGGGGAGCGAACCGGAUUAGAUACCCGGGUAGUCCCAGCUGUAAACGAUGCAGGCUAGGUGUUUGGGCGGCCACGAGCCGCCCUAGUGCCGCAGGGAAGCUGUUAAGCCUGCCGCCUGGGGAGUACGGCCGCAAGGCUGAAACUUAAAGGAAUUGGCGGGGGAGCACCACAAGGGGUGAAGCUUGCGGUUUAAUUGGAGUCAACGCCGGG